rnacentral:rRNA from 1 species
GUGGGGAAUCUUGCGCAAUGGGCGAAAGCCUGACGCAGCCAUGCCGCGUGAAUGAUGAAGGUCUUAGGAUUGUAAAAUUCUUUCACCGGGGACGAUAAUGACGGUACCCGGAGAAGAAGCCCCGGCUAACUUCGUGCCAGCAGCCGCGGUAAUACGAAGGGGGCUAGCGUUGCUCGGAAUUACUGGGCGUACAGGGCGCGUAGGCGGACAGUUUAGUCAGAGGUGAAAGCCCAGGGCUCAACCUUGGAAUUGCCUUUGAUACUGGCUGUCUUGAGUACGGGAGAGGUGAGUGGAACUCCGAGUGUAGAGGUGAAAUUCGUAGAUAUUCGGAAGAACACCAGUGGCGAAGGCGACUCACUGGCCCGUUACUGACGCUGAGGCGCGAAAGCGUGGGGAGCAAACAGGAUUAGAAACCCGGGUAGUCC